GCAGCGGAGCAUGUGGUUUAAUUGGAUGCGACGCCAAGAACCUUACCAGGCUUGACAUGGUCGGCAAAUUCGGUCCUCCUUCGGGACUCGAUCACAGGUGGUGCAUGGCUGUCGUCAGCUCGUGUCGUGAGAUGUUGGGUUAACAACGAGCGCAACCCCUGUCCCAUGUUGCCAGCGAGUUAUGUCGGGGACUCAUGGGAGACUGCCGGUGACAAAUCGGAGGAAGGUGGGGGAUGACGUCAAGUCAUCAUGCCCCUUACGUCCUGGGCUACACACGUGCUACAUUGGCCGGUACAGAGGGCGGCAAACCCGUGAGGGUGAGCGAAUCCCAAAAAGCCGGUCCCGGUUCGGAUUGGAGGCUGCAACUCGCCUCCAUGAAGGCGGAGUUGCUAGUAAUCGCGGAUCAGCAAUGCCGCGGUGAAUACGUUCCCGGGCCUUGUACACACCGUCACACCACGAAAGUCGGCAACACCGAAGCCGGUGGGCUAACCGCAAGG
rnacentral:rRNA from 1 species